GUUUAAACUAUAUUUUUGUACUUCAUUUGCUGCCAAGUCCUCGUGGGGCAACUCGGUUGCACCUACCUUUUAAUGUCUUGUGCUUUUGCUUGAAAAGAGGAGAUGUGACGUCUCACAGGAGGCCAACCGUAAAAGUCUGCAAACGUGUCCCUCACAGCCAUCUUAUAGGCCUACACCUUUUCUCUCACAGUGACUCAACAGUCUGGCGCUGCUCAACGUUUCCUUCACCCUCUAGGGAGGGUCCGCAAGGAGGUGACGGGUCCGUAACCCGACAUAGUGGCAUGUCGAUCUCAUGGGAAAUAUUUCGGACCAUUGAGACCUCGGAACAACGAGGCGUCGGAAUUACGGCAUGGCACCCCACAGCUUCCAGGAACCAUGAGUGAUUAUACAGUCAGACUGACCGCAGCAGGUGAAGAGGCUGUACCAUCUACACCUCUGACUUCAGUUUCAACUCUGGAACCUGCCAUCUCCAGAAAUUCUCAGAUGACUCCUCCAUCGUGGGCUGCAUCAGUGAGGACAGGGAGGACGAGUACAGAGGUGUGGUGGAGGACUUCGUCAGAUGGUCUGAGGAGAACCACCUCCAACUCAACAUCGGCAAGACCAAGGAGAUGGUGGUGGACUUCCGCCGGAAGAGGAACCCCCCAACCUCUAUUACCAUCCAGGGGAUUGAAAUUGAGACGGUGGACUCGUAUAAGUUCCUUGGAGUACACAUCAUCAAUAAACUGGACUUGUCUGACAACAAAGAGACCCUCUACCGGAAGAGUCAGAGCAGACUCUUCCUCAGGAGGCUCAGGUCGUUUGACGUGUGUGGCAGGCUGCUAAGGACAUUUUAUCUGUCUGUGGCAGCACUCUGUUCUUCGCUGGGGCGUGCUGGGGAGGAAGCAUCAAGGCUGGGGAGUCAAACAGACUCAACAAGCUGGUUAGGAAAGCCAGCUCUAUUGUCGGACUUGAGCUGGACAGUGUGGAGGUGGUGGUGGAGAGGAGGAUGAGGGACAAAUUCAAGUCCAUCCUGUGGCAGAAGAGGAGCCCCUACAGCCACAGGUUCAUGUUCCCCAGGUGCAAGACGGAGCGCUUCAGGUGCUCCGUCUUGUGCUGGCAGCCAUUAGGCUGUUCAACAGUGCCUGAUGAUUGUUUGUGUGCGUCUAUGUGUUUGCAUAUGCAUGUGUGUGUGUUUAGGUAUACGUAUAUAUGUGUAUAUGGAUCACCCAUCAUGAUGUUGGUUCUGUUUGUCUUGUUUUUGUCACUAUUUCAACUAUAAGCGUCUACGUAUGCAAUAGCACUUCGUAUUUAUUGUAUUCAUUGCAUUGUCAUUUUAUUCUGUGUCCUUCCACUGCUGCUGGGCUGUUUUUGCAACGAACACAUUUCUCCUAAGGGGGAUUAAUAAAGUUGUGUCUUAUCUUAAGUAGCUGGUCUUUAACAGUAAACCAUACCAUUCCGCGUUCAAGUUCAAGUUUAUUGUCCCUAAAAGGGAAAUUGUUUUGUAGCCAGG
ensembl:lncRNA